rnacentral:lncRNA from 1 species
AGAAAAAGGAGAUUUGGAGGAGUUCCCUUCCACAAGAAAUCUUCUUUGAAAAUUUGCUCCGUGGUAGUUCUCUUGUUCCGUGCGCGCUACCAACAUGGCUUGCCACAAGCCAGAUCCCCUCUUCUGCAGGUACAUAUAAGCUUCAUACACUUGAUACCGAAUCAUCCAAUCCAAAAUUUACUGUCCUAUACUUGUUAGAUUGCACAUGAUUUAGUUUCUUAAUAUACACCAACUGCAUUUGUAUUGAAGUUUCUGAAGGAUGUGAUGAUAUCUCACACAUGGUGGUUUCAUAAUUGCACAUAGACUUAUACUUUUCUGAAUUAAACUGGCCAUCGUUACCAGUGUUUUUAACCUUUUUAGGAUAUCAGAGGUGGAAUUUGGCAUUGCUAGAGAAUCUGAUGUAUUUUAUUGAUUGCAUUGGUUAUGAUAUUUGUCUAUCAUGUAAAAAAAUUGUUUUGCCGAUCUAAUUAAUGUCAGCAUAUAGAUAUGCAAUCGUCUUGCUACAUGCCUAAAUGUUGUUCUCCACUUCAAGUCUUGAUGCACCGAUGAAACAUAUACUCCUCUUGUUGCUUUGUGUUAUUUUUAUUUAAGUUCUUGUAUCUAUUAAUUGAAGGAACCCUUUCAACAAGCAACAACGCCGAUUGCAAAAAGAAGACCUUGGCAGACAUGCAGGUUCGCGUAGAGAGCUAACUUAUAUCCGGUACACUCUAUUAAGUAACUCUUUCUUGUUUGGGUACCCUUCUUGAUUAGUUUGCUAUCUUGUCAUAUCUUGUUCCUUCUUGUCCCAUGAUUCUGCAUUUCUCCUACACUGCCCAUAAAAUGUGUUACUUGCACAAACAACAAAGUUUUGGUCAUGUUUCCAAAUCACUAUGUUGAAUAAUUAUACUCCACCAUUGUUAUCCUUAAAUCCAACUUGUCGGAUUGUAUGCACAAACUGUGGCUAAUUACAGGACAUGACACUCCUUUUCUCCAAUCAUGCUGCACUUUUAGAUGAAUAAAAAUAUGAUUCUUGAAUAUGUUGGGACUAGUCAAUGAACCGGUAGCACGGCGACUAACUUGGCUUCUACUUCUUCUUGACUGUUAUAAUCGCCGGAACUGUCUAUUGUGCUGCACUGCUACAGAGUAGUAUUACCUUGUCUGAAGACAUUUUAAAAUGGACUACAACAUACGGAUGUAUGUAGACAUAUUUUAGAGUGUAGAUUCACUCAUUUUGCUGCGUAUGCAGUCACUUGUUGGAAUCUCUAGAAAAGACUUAUAUUUAGAAACGGAGGGAGUACUUCAUUACCCGGUCUGACUUAUCCCAGACAUAAAAUUAGGACAAGGCUAAAAGAUGAUUGCCUUUUCAGCAUGAUAAAGAUGUCUUUCACUACUCAACAUCCUGAAAUGUUGUCAACAAAACAUGACUGAACUGAAGCAUGGUGCUUGCUAUUUGAUACCAGAUUACCAUACUAUAUAUUGACCUCUGACCAAAAUUGCAAUGACUGAACUGAAGCAUGGUGCUUGCUAUUUCUUACCAAAUUACCAUACUGUAUAUUGACCUAUGACCAAAUUUGCAAUGCUAUCUAGUAGUCCUUCAACAGAAGUGUUCCCCAAGUAUGUCAUCACUAAACCUAUUUCUGUUUACUACUUUGCCUUGUAGAUUCCUUAAAUUUGACCAACAACAGAGUUGAAGGUGGCACCUGUAAGACAAGAGCUCUUAUUUUAGGGAAAUUCUACGACAAUCUGGGCUUAAUUUUUGGGCUGAUGCAAUUCUCUUUUCAAGGACGGAUGUUCUUAAAUAUUUUGGACAAGUAUAGGUGCACACCUAUCAGAAAUCCAACAUUACUUGCGAGUUGCAAGAGAUCAUGCUUAUGUUCUUUGUAAGAUGUUAAUU